rnacentral:rRNA from 1 species
UACAGAGGUGGCAAGCGUUGUUCGGAAUUACUGGGCGUAAAGGGCGCGUAGGCGGCCCGUCAAGUCCCGUGUGAAAGCCCCCCGGCUCAACCGGGGAACUGCACGGGAAACUGACGGGCUUGAGUUCGGGAGAGGUGAGUGGAACUGCGAGUGUAGAGGUGAAAUUCGUAGAUAUUCGCAAGAACACCAGUGGCGAAGGCGGCUCACUGGCCCGAUACUGACGCUGAGGCACGAAAGCGUGGGGAGCAAACAGGG